UUGGACCUGAUAUCAGGUAAGACUACCCGCUGAACUUAAGCAUAUUAAUAAGCGGAGGAAAAGAAACUAACAAGGAUUCCCCUAGUAACGGCGAGUGAAGCGGGAUGAGCUCAAGCUUAAAAUCUCUGUGCCAGUUUGGCAUGGCGAAUUGUAGUCUAUGGAGGCGCUGUCAGUGCGAUUGCGUGGGUUAAGUUCCUUGGAAGAGGACAGCAUCGAGGGUGAUACUCCCGUGUAUGCCUGUGCAAUUGUGCGUACGACACGUUUUCUUUGAGUCGCGUUGUUUGGGAAUGCAGCGCAAAGUAGGUGGUAAAUUCCAUCUAAAGCUAAAUAUUGGUGCGAGACCGAUAGCGAACAAGUACCGUGAGGGAAAGAUGAAAAGAACUUUGAAAAGAGAGUUAAAGAGUACCUGAAACUGCUGAAAGGGAAUCGAAUCGUUUCCAGUGUCUAUAAUCUGUGGCAUAUUUCAUUGGCGAGUGUGUGCGUGCAUUGUUUUGGAAGCAGUUUUCUGUUCCUGGCUGUGUUGUGCAUAUGCUUGCUGGUGCCCUGUGUCGCSGUGGGACGUCAGAGUCAAUUCGYAAGUUGCGGGAAAUGGCUAUUGGGGAGGUAGGUCACUUCGGUGGCUGUUAUAUCCUGAUAGCUAGUAGUCGUGGCUGGGAUUGAGGUGCCUACAACGUGCUUUCGAGUGUCUGGGUGUCUCGUUUGGUAAGUUAUCUUGACAGCUUGCUGUGUUGGUGAUAUUAUCGAGCGAUUGAUGUCUGGUCUAACUUGKUGCCGUUCGGGACUUUGACGAAAUGGAGCGAUCCGUCCCGUCUUGAAACACGGACCAAGGAGUCUAACAUGUGUGCAAGUGUUCGGGUGUGGAAACCCAAACGCGAAAUGAAAGUGAAGGGCAGUUUACUGUCUGAGGUAGGAAACCUUUGUUCUCAAGGGUGGCACUAUCGACCGAUCAUGAACCUUCGUGGUGAAAGAUUUGAGUUUGAGCACAUAUGUUGGUACCCGAAAGAUGGUGAACUAUGCCUGAGUAGGGUGAAGCCAGGGGAAACUCUGGUGGAGGCUCGUAGCGAUUCUGACGUGCAAAUCGAUCGUCAAACUUGGGUAUAGGGGCGAAAGACUAAUCGAACCAUCUAGUAGCUGGUUCCCUCCGAAAUUUCCCUCAGGAUAGCAGCAACUUCUUUUCGAUAGUUUUAUGAGGUAAAGCGAAUGAUUAGAGGCCUCUGGGAAGAAACUUCCUGGACCUAUUCUCAAACUUUAAAUCUGUAAGACCUGCAGGUUUCUUAAUUGAACUUGUGGAUGUGAAUAUCAAGUUGCUAGUGGGCCAUACGGGGUAAGCUCGUCUGGCGAUGCGGGAUGAACCGAACGUGAUGUUAAAGUGCCAAAGUGCCCGCUCACCUAGAUACCAUAAAAGGKGUUGGKUUCAUUUAGACAGCAGGACGGUGGCCAUGGAAGUCGGAAUCCGCUAAGGA
rnacentral:rRNA from 1 species